rnacentral:sRNA from 1 species
CUGGAGGGUGUUUUUAAGUUCUUGCAGUGACAAGUUGUCACAUUUUCUUUUUGCUUCAUCCAGAUGCAUGAAUCGAAGCAACUAAAGUCUGAAAGGGAAUGAAAUGCCAUGAGCCAGUAUCUGUGACCUGCGGGUGACAACUCGAGAGCAACAAGUGACUGGGUUUAAGAUGAUCUCCUUUAAAAGGUGUCUUUAAAGCAAAAGGAAGCAUGUGUGUUAGGGAUCCACGCGCAUGUGAUGAACCACAUAGAACAGUGAAGUGGUGCUAAUGGAAAAUUCAGUAGCCAGUAUACGGGGCGAGGAGGUAGUGAGGGAACAGCACAUGCGUGAAUGCAAAGGCGCACGCCACAACACCCGGCUCAUUUUUGUAUUUUUUGUAGAGACAGAGUUUCACCAGGUUGCCCAGGCUGGUCUCUAGUUCCUGGGUUCAAGCAGUUCUCCUGCCUCAGCCUCCCAAAGUGCUGAGAUGGCAAGGUGUGAGUCACCGUUCCUGGCCAUCAUCUCUCAAAAAAAAAAAAAAAAAAAGGCAGGCAUGAUGGCUCACUCCUGCAUCCCUACACUUUGGGAGGCAGCUGUGCUGCAGCCUGGGUGACAGAGAGAGAUUCUGUCUCUUAAAGAAAAAAAAUUUAAGUCUUCCAAUCCCUGAAUAUGGAACGCCUUUCCAUUUACUUAUGUUUUCUUUAGUUUUUUUUUUUUUUUACAAUAUUUUGUAGCUUUUAGAGCACAAAUCUUACAUUUUUGUUAAAUUUAUUCCUAAAUACUUUAUUCUUCUUAAUCCUAUUAUAAUUGGAAUUGUUUUAUUAAUUUAUUAUAAUUCUUGUGCUGUUCACUGCUAGUGUGUAAAGAAAUACAAUAGUUUUUUUUUUUUUUUUUUUUUCAGUUAGAGUUUUGCACUUGUCACCCAGGCUGGAGUGUAAUGGCGCCAUCUCAGCUCACUACAGCCUCCACCUCCCCAGUUCAAGUGAUUCUCCUGCCUCAGCCCCCCCGAGUAGCUGGGACUAUAGGCAUACGCCACCAUGCUGGGCUAAUUUUGUAUUUUUAGUGGAGACAGAUUUUCACCGUGUUGGCCAGGCUGGUCUUGAACUUCUGACCUCAGGUGAUCUACCCACUUUGGCCUCCCAGGGUGCUGGAAUUACAAGCCUGAGCCACCAUGCCCGGCCUCAAUUGAUUUAUUUUUUAAGACAGGGUCUCACUUUGUGUCCUAGGCUGGAGUGCAGUGGCAUGAUCAUAGGCUCACUACAGCCUUGAACUUGUGGGCUCAAGCAGUCCUUCCACCUCAGCCCCCUGAGUAGCUGGAACCACAGGUGCAUGCCACAUGCCUGAUUAAUUUUUUGUUUUUUUAGAGGCAGGGUCUUUUAAUAUGUUGCCUAAGCUUGUCUCGAACUCCUGGCCUCUAGCAAUCCUCCAGCCUCAGCCUCCUAAAGUGAUGGGAUUACAGGGGUGAGCCACUGCACCUGGCCUAUAAUUGAUGUUUAUAUUAUUGAUCUUAUACCCUGCAACCUUGCUGAAGUUGUUUACCAGUUCUAAUAGUUUUUAGUGUAUUGUUUAUAUAUAUAUAAGAUUGUGUUAUCUGCAAAUAGAGAUAGUUUUGCUUCUCCCAUUCAAUUCUGGGUGCCUUUUAUCUUCUUUUCCUGCCUAAUUUCCCUGGCUAGAACCUCCAGGACAGUGUGGAAUGGAAGUGGUGCCAGAUGGCUCAUGCCUGUAAUCCCAGCACGUUGGGAGACCAAGGUGGGCAGAUUGCUUGAGCCCAGGAGUUUGAGACCAGCCUGGGCAACAUGGUGAAACCCCGUCUCUAAAAAAAAUACAAAAAUUAGCCAGGCAUGGUCAAGCAUGCCUGUAGUCCCAGGAACUCUGGAGGCUGAGGUGAGAGGAUCGCCUGAACCUGAGAGGUCAAGGCUACAGUGAGCUGAGAUUGCCUCACUGCACUCCAGCCUGGGUGAAAGAGUGAGACCCUGUAUCAAAAAAAAAAAAAAAAAAAAAGGGGAGGGGAGAGGAAAUGGUGAGAGUGGACAUCCUUGUCUUUUUUUCUGAUCUUAGGAGGAGAAAGCAUUUAGUCCUUCAUCAUUAAGUAUGAUUUUAGCUGUGGGUUUUUCACACAUGCCUGUUAUUGGGUUGAGGAAGCUUCCUUCUAUUCCUAGUUUGUUGAGUGUUUUUAUCAUGUAAAGUUGUUAGAUUUUGUUAAAUGCUUUUUUUCUAUGUCUGUUUAGAUGAUCAUGUGGUUUCUGUCCUUUAUUGUGUUAAUAAUAAUGUAUUAUAUUAAUUGAGGUUGACAUGUUAAACCAACCUUGCAUUCUUGGAUAAAUCCCACUUGAUCACGGUGCACAAUCCUUUUGUAUGCUCCUGGAUUUAAUUUCUUGUAUUUUCUGGAGGAUUUUUACAUCUAAAAUAAUUGGAAAGUAUUCCUUUUUCCUCUAUUUUUGUGCAGUUUGUGGAAAAUUAGUAUUCUUCUUUUUUUCCCCCCACCCCAAGACAGAGUUUCACUCUGUUGCCCAGGCUGGAGUGCAGUGGUAUGUCCUUGGCUCACUGUAACUUCAACCUCCAGGGUUCAAGUGAUUCUCGUACCAUGCCAGGCUAAUUUUUGUAUUUUUAGUAGAGACAGGGUUUCACCAUGUUGGCCAGGCUGGUCUCAAACUCCUGGCCUCAAGUGAUCCUUCGGCCACGGCCUCCCAAAGUGCUAGGAUUACAGGAAUGAGCUGCUGCACCAGCCCUACUUUCCAAUUUUUAGAAAUCUAUCCCGGUGCCUUUUCUAUUUACUGUAGUCUAUUUUUUUUUUUUUUUUUUACCAUCUUUUCCCUAGAUUGAUGAUAUAUUUAAUGAAAUUAAAUUUGGUGAAUAUGUGGACACUGGAAAGCUAAUUGACAAGAUCAACUUACCAGAUUUUCUCAAAGUGUACCUUAACCACAAGCCACCUUUUGGUAACACCAUGAGUGGCAUCCACAAGAGCUUUGAGGUGCUCGGUUAUACCAACUCCAAAGGGAAAAAGGCCAUUCGAAGAGAGGACUUCCUGAGACUGCUCGUUACUAAAGGUGAGCACAUGACGGAGGAGGAGAUGUUGGAUUGCUUUGCUUCGCUGUUUGGCCUGAAUCCCGAGGGAUGGAAAUCCGAGCCUGCAACCUCCUCUGUCAAAGGUUCAGAAAUUUGCCUUGAAGAAGAACUUCCAGACGAGAUCACUGCAGAAAUAUUCGCGACUGAAAUUCUUGGCUUAACCAUUUCAGAAUAUUCCAGCCAGGAUGGUCAGUGAAGUUACCAGGAAUGUUUAAAGCACAAAGGACUUUGGGUGUGUG